rnacentral:rRNA from 1 species
GACGAACGCUGGCGGCGUGCUUAACACAUGCAAGUCGAACGGAAAGGCCCUGCUUUCGUGGGGUGCUCGAGUCGCGAACGGGUGAGUAACAUGUGAGUAACCUGCGCUGGACUUGGGGAUAACUUCAGGAAACUGGGGCUAAUACCGGAUAGGAGCUCCUGCUGGAUGGUGGGGGUUGGAAAGUUUGGGCGGUUGGGGAUGGACUCGCGGCUUAUCAGCUGGUGGGGGGGGUACUGGCUUACCAAGUCUUUGACGGGUAGCCGGCCUGAGAGGGUGACCGGCCACAUUGGGACUGGGAUACGGCCCAGACUCCUACGGGAGGCAGCAGGGGGGAAUAUGGCACAAUGGGGGGAAGCCUGAUGCAGCAACGCCGCGUGCGGGAUGACGGCCUUCGGGUUGUAAACCGCUUUCGCCUGUGACGAAGCGUGAGUGACGGUAAUGGGUAAAGAAGCACCGGCUAACUACGUG